UCAUCAGAAGGCAUCACAAUCUAAAGGAACCUUCAGCUAUUGGGGAAAGGAGGAAGUAAUGGAAAACAUUCAGCAUUGCUUCAGUAGUCAUUUCCAGGGUUUGGGCUUCACAGGGGCUGGGAUGGGCUUCUCUUGGACUGCUUCCGAAAGACCAGUCCUCUUAGCAUUUCCUGGCACCUGGAACUGUCCAUAGUUUUAGCUCUGAAGCACACCAAGCAGAGAGGAUUUGAUCCAGGUACAUGGAUGGAGACCCCAGCCACAGUCUGUUUGGGAGGGACCACUUCUGCAGACAUGUCAGCUGUUGGAAACACGAAAACGUAGGAAUAUUCUGAGUGUAAAGGGUUGAAAAAUGAUGAAGCUGCCUGUUUCACACCCUGCUCAUGGUACACACACAGCAGAAGAGGAGAUCUGGUUUCUGCUGUAUUUCCUGGUUGGUCAGAGCUUCUCAACAUCCCCAGCCUUGGCUCCUGCAGAUGAUGGCACCAGAACCUCCUGUCCCUGCCUGAGUCCUUCCCAGGGAACUGAGCUGGCUAAGCUGCUGUUCAGCACUGAUCGAGGAGAGAGCACAUAUACAUGUACUUUACAUCGCAACAGGCCCAGGGACAAGGCGCUGACAAUAUACGCUCCAUACAGGAGAACAUGUAGUUGUGUGCUUAGCGUGUGUUUUUCUGAGUGUGGAAAUCGACCUUCUGAUCCCAUCCUUAAAGUGUUGCCUGUCAGUCUGUCUAGAUGUCAACUGGCUUGACAAACUGGUGGAGAGGAACCACGUGAAGUUCAACAAAGGGAAAUGCCAAAUACUGACCCUGGGGACAAACAAUUCCAGACACCAGCAUAUGCUGUGGACCACCCAGGUAGAAAGUGGCUUGGAAGAAAUAGCCCUGUGAGUCCUGGUGGACACCAAGCUGACUGUGAGCCAGCAAAGAAGGCGAUGGCAUCCUGGGCAAAGUGCCUCUAGAAGGUCAAGGGAAGUAAGCCUUCCUCUCUGCUCAGUGCUGGUGACACAUGUCUGGAGUGGUAUGUCCAGCACUGGGCCUCCCAAAACUAUGGUGGUGAUGAAGUGACUGGAGCAUCUCUCCUAUGAGUACAGGCUGAGAGACAUGGGACUGCUCAGCCUGGGGAAGAGGAAGCCCAGCUGGAUCUUAUCCAUGUGAAUAAAUACCUGGUGAGAAGAAUGAACAUGAGGGAGCCAGGUUGUCUUCAGUGGUGCCCAGUGAUAGGACCAGAGGCAACAGGCAUACACAGAAAUAUGUGAAGUUUCCUCUGGAGAUCAACAAGCACUUUGUCACUGUGAGGGUGACUGAGCAGCAGUCCAGGGAGGUCGUGGGGUCCUCCUUGGAGAUGUCCAAAACCCAAACGGACACCACUGCUAGGUGACCCUGCUUGAGCCGGGGGUUUGGCUGUGUGAUCUCCACGAGUUCCCCCCAACAUCCAGCAUUCUGAGAUCUGAGUCUGAGACCAGAGAUUUUCACAGAAAGAGUAAUUAAAGGAAACUUUUACCUUCUGCUACAAUAAAGGCCAUAACAUGACUGGGUUUUCUAAGGAAGUUGAUAAACCUUGAUCCAGACAGGAAUGAGGCAGCUGCUGGGUAACUGAGAGUGCUGUCAGAAAGCAUACGUAUACAAUACUUGGUAGCUCUAUGAAAACAAUGUUUUUCCGCAAAACCAAAUUAUUGCCAAGUAUUAUGAAAGACUUGAAAAUCUGGAACAGAAACCAGGAGCUGCUCAAUGUCUUGUGUUC
rnacentral:lncRNA from 1 species